GACGAACGCUGGCGGCGUGCUUAACACAUGCAAGUCGAGCGGUAAGGCCCUUCGGGGUACACGAGUGGCGAACGGGUGAGUAACACGUGGGUGAUCUGCCCUGCACUUCGGGAUAAGCCUGGGAAACUGGGUCUAAUACCGGAUAGGACCCUGGGAUGCAUGUCCUGGGGUGGAAAGCUUUUGCGGUGUGGGAUGGGCCCGCGGCCUAUCAGCUUGUUGGUGGGGUGAUGGCCUACCAAGGCGACGACGGGUAGCCGGCCUGGGAGGGUGACCGGCCACACUGGGACUGAGAUACGGCCCAGACUCCUACGGGAGGCAGCAGUGGGGAAUAUUGCACAAUGGGCGCAAGCCUGGUGCAGCGACGCCGCGUGAGGGAUGACGGCCUUCGGGUUGUAAACCUCUUUCAGCACCGACGAAGCGCAAGUGACGGUAGGUGCAGAAGAAGGACCGGCCAACUACGUGCCAGCCGCCGCAGUAA
rnacentral:rRNA from 1 species